rnacentral:lncRNA from 10 species
GCGGCAGGUGCAGCUGAGGGCAGGGCUGCUGGGCUCUGCCCCCUGGAGUCUCUCGUAGGCCUCAGUUUCCUAACUUGCUCGGGAAGGGAAUUGCAGCCAUCCUGUGCCGAAGGAGCAGGCCGAGGAUGGUGUAGAGGUGCCCGGCUCCCCAGGAGAAAAGACCACAGGCGUUUAGAACUAGACCUGGGCAGGCACUAGGACCUAACACUGUCCUGCUGGGCCCUCUGUUCCCAAUCUCUCCCCUCUCACUUCUUUGUCUGAAUAAUUUCCUCUUAAGUUCUGCAAGGCAAGGAGAACAACCCCCCGCGUUCACAAGGUGUGCGAUUGCCCAUUUGGUAGAUGAAGAAACUGAGGGUCAGAGAGAGGAAGUGUCCCAAUCAGCAUCUUGGGCAGUGCUUCUUGUAGGCAAGGGGGCCGCACACGACCAGCAGCACCACCAGGAGCACCAGGGCCAGGAUGAUGCUUGCCACCGUGCCUGCGGCCAGGCCUGCGGGGUUUGGAUCCUGGCCUGGGGAAGGAGGAAGAGUUAGGUCAGUCCCAGUCCUGGGGGGAGAAAAACUGUGGGAGGGAAGCUGCUGGCUGCCUGGCUUCCGCCGUCAUCCUUGCUCAUCUGAGAAAUUCACCAGCAUGCACGGAAGGCAAUGAUCUAUUUGGCUAUCCCUCCAUCUAUCUCUAGGAUUCCCUGCUACCCACUCACCCACCCACCAUUUGUCAUCUAACAGUUGAUCAUCUAGCUAUCAUUUGCCACACUUGUUAUAAGCUAUUUAAUUUUCUACCAUUUGCCAGUUAUUAGUGAUCACCUUGCCAUCAUAUACCAUCAGAAACCAAUAUAUGAUUGCAUACCAAUAGCCAGCGGGGCCUCUAUUCUUGAUCCAUCCAUCCAUCUGUCCAUCCGCCCUUCUGUCCAUCCAUCCAUCCAUCCAUCCACUCACCCAUCCAUCAGUCCACUCAUCCAUCCAUCCAUCCAACCAUCCAUCCAUCCACCCACCCACUGAUCCA